rnacentral:rRNA from 1 species
CGAAAGCGUGGGGAGCGAACAGGAUUAGAUACCCUGGUAGUCCACGCCGUAAACGGUGGAUGCUGGAUGUGGGGCCCGUUCCACGGGUUCCGUGUCGGAGCUAACGCGUUAAGCAUCCCGCCUGGGGAGUACGGCCGCAAGGCUAAAACUCAAAGAAAUUGACGGGGGCCCGCACAAGCGGCGGAGCAUGCGGAUUAAUUCGAUGCAACGCGAAGAACCUUACCUGGGCUUGACAUGUUCCCGACAGCCGUAGAGAUAUGGCCUCCCUUCGGGGCGGGUUCACAGGUGGUGCAUGGUCGUCGUCAGCUCGUGUCGUGAGAUGUUGGGUUAAGUCCCGCAACGAGCGCAACCCUCGCCCUGUGUUGCCAGCACGUCGUGGUGGGAACUCACGGGGGACCGCCGGGGUCAACUCGGAGGAAGGUGGGGAUGACGUCAGAUCAUCAUGCCCCUUACGUCCAGGGCUUCACGCAUGCUACAAUGGCCGGUACAACGGGAUGCGACACGGCGACGUGGAGCGGAUCCCUGAAAACCGGUCUCAGUUCGGAUUGGAGUCUGCAACCCGACUCCAUGAAGGCGGAGUCGCUAGUAAUCGCGGAUCAGCAACGCCGCGGUGAAUGCGUUCCCGGGCCUUGUACACACCGCCCGUCAAGUCAUGAAAGUGGGUAGCACCCGAAGCCGGUGGCCUAACCCUUUGUGGAUGGAGCCGUCUAAGGUGAGACUCGUGAUUGGGACUAAGUCGUAACAAGGUAGCCGUACCGGAAGGUGCGGCUG